rnacentral:rRNA from 1 species
UCUACGACCAUACCACCCUGAAUACACCCGAUCUCUUCUGAUCUCAGAAGCUAAAUACAGUCAGGCCUGGUUAGUACUUAGAUGGCAGAGUUUCCAUUGUAUCACUUAGUGUAAGAA